rnacentral:rRNA from 1 species
AUGAAGAAAGAAUCGCUUCUCCUUUGCCUUGCCACCUCCACGAUUCCCUUCCCACCGAGCUCUAGCAUGGUUGCAUCAUCAAGGGGGAAAAGCAGCAGCAAUGGCUUAAACAAUGGGGGAUGCACUCACAAAGUUGUGCAAGACAACCGCCGGCCUCCGACGAGAACAGAAUGCACACUUGAUGGACUGGACAUCCGGGCCGGGAAGCACGCGGCGCGCGCGCUCUCCUCACGAUGCCGCGGACAUGGCGCCCUUGGAUUUCUUCUUGGUAGUCUUGGUACCGACUCUGCUGCCCUUGGCGAGCUUCGCGGGGUCGAUCUUGUAGUACUGGAGGAACCAUUCCACGAACUUCCGCAGGCCGGCGUCGAGGGAGGUGGUGGGGUGGUACCUGAAGUCGCGCGCGGCGUGGCUGACGUUGGCGUGCGUGAACGGCACGUCGCCGUUGCUCGGCAUGGUGACGACGCGUUUGUUCGCUUUCUUGCCGAGGAGCUUCUCGAGGAUGGCCACCAUGCGGGUGACGGGCACCGGCGAGGUGUUGCCGAGGUUGUAGACGCGGAGGGGCGCCGGCCCGCGCUUCUUGCCGGACUUGGAGCCCGUGCUCUUACCGGCCGUGUCGAGCGCACCGAGGCACCCCUUCACGACGUCGUCGAUGUAGGUGAAGUCGCGGCGCACGUCUGUGCCGUCGGCGGCGCGGAAGAGCGUGAUGGGCUCGCCGGCGACGAUGCUGCGGGCGAAGGAGAAGUAGGCCAUGUCGGGGCGUCCCCACGGACCGUACACCGUGAAGAAGCGGAGGCCGGUGAUGGAGAGACCGUAGAUGUGGUUGUACGCGUGCGCGAUGGCCUCCCCGGCCUUCUUGGUGGCCGCGUACAGCGACGCCGGUCGGUCCGUGCGGUGGUCCUCGGAGAAUGGCGCGUCAGUGUUGAGCCCGUACACCGACGACGACGACGCCCACACGAUCGCCGGCUGCGGGUCGGCGUGCCUGGCGGCGGCCUCGAAGACGCUGACGAGGCCCGCGACGUUGGAGGCCACGUACGUCUGCGGCGCCCGCAUCGCGUACCGCACGCCGGCCUGCGCGGCGAGGUGCAGCACGUGCGUGAAGGGCACGACGGUGAAGAGCCGCUCGAGCAGGGCCGCGUCGUUGAUGUCGGCGCCGAACACCACCACCCCGCGCGACGCGAGCAGCCGCUGCCGCGCGCGCUUCAGGGCCGGCUCGUAGUAGGCGUUGAAGUUGUCGAGGCCGAGCACGCCGUCGCCGCGCGCCCUGAGCGCCAGCGCGCAGUGCGCGCCCACGAACCCCGCAGCGCCCGUGACCAGCACCGACAUCCCCCCGUCCCGCCGCGGCGUGGCGCUCCGCCGCACCUCCCGCUCCCACGCGGCGCCCGCGUACGCCGACGACGACCCGAGCAGGUUCCGGUGCCGCGACGUCUGCCGCGGCGGGGAAGAAGAGGAGGCGGCGGCGGAGAGCCGGAAGGAGCGGGAGAGGAGGGAAGGGUAGUGCACGGCGAAGAGGCAGACGAGCGCGAGCGUGGCGAGGACGGUGGCGCGGAAGAGGAGGUGCGAGGACGCCGCGACGAUCUUGGAGGUCCCCGCGCGCCGCAUCAGCAGCGCGGCGCCGCCGCUGGCGUACCGCUCGAGCUUGACGCCCUUGGCGGCCGCGUCCACACUGGCCGAGGAAGACGACGACGACGACGGGUGCGGCAUUUAGUCCGUACCCUGCUCGCUCACGGGCUCACGUACUGUACGGCCCAGCUCCGCGUGCGCGCGGGUCGAGUGGAGUGGGGUGGAGUCGAGCUGGUGAGUGGUGGCGGGGGUGGGGGUGGGAGUGAGAGUGAGCUAUAA